GUAAGUAAUGCAACCAAAUACAUAUUUUUGUGCAGUUUUCAUGUGGGCAGUUUCAUAUAGCAGUUAAAUUUUGAAGGUCAUUUACAUUAUUACUCCUUAGGUACUUAGUAUAAAAUAUUUAUAUAUUAAAUAUCUAUAUUUAAGUAUGUAUUUAUACUUAGUAUAAAAUAUUGUGCACUUCUGUGAAAAUAUGUUAAUUUUCCCUCCUGUAGAGCCACUGCUUCAAUAUAUCUGUGUACUCUGCUCAAGGAAACUUGCACUCAAUUCACAGAGAAGACCAGCAAAUUUCUCAUGCUGUCCCAGAUGUGUUCUCCAGUUGAGGUUGGCUGGAUGUGGUUCUUCAAAUGAGGAGUGAAUUUUAAGUGGCUCACAAAGCUAGAAGUGAAGCCACAGGUCUAACAAACAUAAGGUUUGUAAUGCUAAAUCCAGAGGACUUUUGAAGCCAGUCAAA